AACCCUCGGCGGUUUGGUUGUUAGGUAAGAAUCGUCUAACUCGGUUUUCUGCAUCGGUUUAGGGCUGUGAAAUUAGUUAAAUUGGAAUUGUCAAUCGACGGUAGGCUCUGAUUUAUUCAUGAUUGCUUUAGGUGGUAGCUCUGGUAUUCGGCGUUUUCGCGAUCAUCAGAUAGUUCGAGUUUUUUUGCAAUAGUUUGGUUUGUUGAUAUGAUGAUAAUUUGUCCAUCGUUCCAAUUUAUCGGACAAUUUUGGUGUCGGUUUUCCUUCUUGUUAAUGUUUCGAAAUUCACCUUGUUGUAGAAUUGGCAGAAUGGAGGAGAGAAGCGCUCUGUUGGAUGGAUUUGAAUGUGGUCCGAAAAUUUGGGAGUUCUUCUCUAAUCCCCUCUUGGUCUUGGGUUGUUCUUAUCUUUGCUUGAUAAAGUCACCGCCUUUAUUUUAUGGGGUCAUUGCUGACGAGCUCUAGGUGUUGUCUUGAUCUUAGGGGAGCUUGGAUUCAAGGGUUUGGUCGUGAUUAUUAUCCUGUUCUCCUGUUUUACAAAAUUUUGGGGGAGUUUUUCUUUCCCUACUUGUGGCUUUGUGCUGUUUUCCUGAACAACGAUUGGGAGUUUUUUUUUGGAUAAUAAUGAUUGAAAAACCAUAGGAGUUAUCCAACAUACAUGACUUUGUUUGGUAUUCCAGUUUAUCUGACAAUUUGGCAUCACAUUACCGUAUUGUUGUUGUUGCUUAGAGAUUGGCCUUGCUUUUAGAACGGUGGAAUUCUGGCCUUACGAGGAGAGGAGAUGUUUUGACUGGUGCUCUAAAAUCGGGAAAUUUACCACCUUUUAGGGAGUUAUUAUUAUCUGGCUCUACAUGUUGUCUUGAUCGUAGGGGAGCUUGGAGUUUUGGUCAUUGUAGUUACCCUGCUAUAUUGGUUUACGAGAUUUCAUAAAAGUUUGCUCUUUUCCUACUUUUUUUAAAAAUUUUUUUUUUUUAAAGCUGUUUUUCCUUAGGACUGAUGGGGACCUUCUGGAUAUGGUGAUUGAUUUGCUCUGCAUCUACCUCGUUAGGAUUGAAGGAUUGAACAACUCAAGUUGUCUGUUUCAAAGGAACUAUUUAACUUCCUUGACAUGACUUUGGUUGCUGGAAUCUGGGUACAGAUGACUCGGAGGUUUGAUGACAACUUACGUCUCUUGUCCGAAAUCAAAGGCUUUUUGCAUUGUUAACAAAGGGAGUUCGCACUAUUUUUUCCUUUUUGCUUGAGCCAACUUAGUGGUUUUGACACCUGUAAAUAUCUCAUGUCCCCCCCUUAAUGUUAGGAUCUUGGAAUUGAGACCUGUAUCUUCUAAUGCAUCCAAAGGCAUUUCCUCUUCAUAUUUUUAAGUAACUUUUUUUGCUCAUGUAUUUCUUGUUUUUUGCUGACACUUUGUUUAAAGUUGUACUGAUUAUUGGUCUUGUUCCAGGGGGUUCCCUUCAUCCCAACCUUUUUAGUUGUGGUUGCUCUAAGAGCUUCUAAAUGGUUGUUCGGGUUAUAUGUCCUCAGCUGUGUAGUAGGCGUUUUUUGGAAGGAGUUCUGUUUCCCACCUGUAUACUUGAAGGUCGUCUCUUUAGGCGGAUGUGGAAUUUCAAGUUUUGCAAUACUGGGUUUGUCGUCAUUAUGUUUUUCUCAUACAUGACAAUUUAUUAUUGGAAGAUUUUGACAUCAGUUAACUUUAUUGAUAUGUUAUCUCUAUAAAAUGAGUUGGGGGCACAACUAUCAGCAUUUAAACAGUACGUGAAGGAGAGCUGUCCUAUCCAAGGGAUGUGACAGUUUAAAGUGUUUGAAAGUAUUUUUCAACAUUUCUAUGCUGAUUACUGUUUAUAACAAUCUAUAUUUGAAAGCCAACAGUUUGCGGGUCAUUUGACUUUGUAUACUCAUGGAUUUUUGGUGAUUUUGAGCUGUUGUUGUGGUAUCUCGGGGCUUCCUUCUUCCAAUCAAAGCUUAUCUUCCUUGUCUUGGAGGAGUCCUCUUCUACCUUGAGCUAAUUGCACCUAGUUGUUUUUGAACUUGGUGGUUUUGGGAAUAUUUUUAAUGUCCAUCUCUCAUCUGUACUAUAGUGGCUUGGAUUCAAGAUUGAUCGUUUAGUACUGUAGCUGUGAAUUAUCUUCAACAUGAUUCUUGAGCCAAAAAGUUGAGCAGUUCUUCUCUUUGAUACUUGGUGUGACUGGUUUUCUUAACCAACAGUGGACAGCUUUUGGUUAGUCAUAAACCCAUUCUGUCCUCUAAUUUGAUGAAGAAGUUUGUGUGGCUAAAAUGUCUGAAAAGAGCUAUCAACACCCUUAUGUGCUUAUUACUUCCAAGUCUGUUUGUCUAUCUUCAUUUUAGGAAGAAGCUUGGAAUUAAAGAACUCACUGGGUUAAAGUGAUUGAAUGGCGUUCUCUGCUUCUUUGGAGCAUUACAUUUUUUUUUGGAAUCAUCUGUAAGGACUUUCUGUGUUUGUUGUGUACGAUCUUGGGUUUGUGUCUCCCUGUUUUCAUCGAGAUCUUUGCUUUCUUCUUCUGAGCCUAACACCAUUUACAUUGUUUUGGAGGAACUCUUUUCUGCCUCUGACUAAUUGAUCCUCUGUGCAUGAUCAAUUUUCAGUUUUCUAUUGAUGUUGAUGUCUCCUCUCUAUUGUUGGAACUGGGGUGCAAGAUGGGUGUUGUGCUUGAAGAUUUCCUAGGCUCUUUUAUCUGCUUCUUGAUAAUUUGGCGAAUUCAUUCUGCUGUUUGGCGCGGCAUUACAAUUUAUCCAUCUGCAUGAUGUUGUGAGAGAAAAUGGGAGUCUCUUUGUCCCUACUUUCCUUCUGAGCUUUUCUUGAUGAAAUAGUGGAUAACAUGUCAUCUUCAUUUUGGAAGGAGCUUGGAUUUGGUGAGCUCAGUGAUGUCAUUAAAAUAAUUGAAAGGAGUUCUCUGCUUCCUCGUGUAUUACUUUGUUUGAAGAUUGACAGUUCUGGGAUUAUCUGUAACAACUAUAUAUCUACAUCUUAGGAUCUUGGGUUUCAACCAUGCUGUUGUCAUUUAGAUCUUAGGCUUUCUUUUGUCAAAGGAUAUUUACAUCAUUGAAGGUCAAACUAAUUGUUUGUUUGUGGUUGAUCAGUUAUUGGUUUUGGGGAUGUUAUUGACGAAUAUGUUUCCUUUACUCCAGCAGCUUGCAUUCAAGUGACAUCCCAGGCUCUUUUAUCUGCUUUUGAUUUUUUGUUGGAUUCAUUCUUUCAUUGGAGCAAUAAUUAUUUUUAAUUAUUUGGGGUGGCAGUGAAUUCUACUGUGCUGUAAUGCGGAGAGAAUUGCAAGUCCUGUGUUGUGGUUUACAUGAUUUUGCGGGAGAGCCGGAGUUUUUUGCUUUCCCUGCUUUUGCUGUUAGGUUUCUCUGAACAAUAAUGGACAGUUUCUGGUUAAAUUUUGAGAGGCUUCAUCAUCAUCAUUUUAGGAAUUGAAGAAAGUCAGUGUGCAGUUAUAAAGUGAUUGAAAGGUGUGUGUGUAUUACUUUGUUUUGGGUUAUCUGUAACGCCUUCGCAUAUUUGUUUUAGGAGUUUAAAUUGGUCUGAGCUGUUGUAGUGACAUCUUCGGUCUCCUUUAGAUUAAAGGCUAUCCACGUUGGUUUGAAAGGAAUUCUAUUCUGCCUAAACUAAUUGUUUGUCAGUGGUUGACAAUUGACGAUUUUUGGGAUGUGGUAGCAUCUGUGUCUUGUUUGUAUUCUAGGAGCUCAGGUUCAAGAUUGCUUUUUUGGUAACAUCUCUGGCUGUUUUAUCUGCUUUUGAAGCUCGUACUGGUCGGCAUAGUUUCACGAAUAACGCCCAUUCCUGGUUAUUUGGUGUGGUUAUGAAAUAAUUAUUCGUUCUGAUGCAAUUACUAAUUGCAGUUCACCAGCUUAAGUAAUAAAUAUAUGUUUUUUCCUGGUCUAUGAGUUGAUUUCAGAGGUUGAGGACUAGUUAUUUUAGUUUCUAUGGUGUAUUUACAGCAGCUGGUCCUUUUUUUGUUGCUGCAGAGAAUACAGUGACUGGAUGCUACUUGCUUUGCUAACACCUUUGAUAUAUGCAGUCUUAGUGUUGAUAAUAAAUGCUUUGGACUGUCGGACCCUGUAGAUUGCCGGGUUGAUUGAUGAACUGUCAAUUCUACUCUUUCAAGUACUUGCUACAAUUCUUGUUCUGCAACUUUCACAGUGGUUUUCAAAAUUUUCAAAUGGUCUUCUGGAGGGUUUUCCUUGGGUUUGGAGAAUUGUGGGUUCAGCUAUACAAAAUGGUGGUCAUCUAUUAUAUUUGUGGAACUGCUAAGAGGUGGUUGUGUUAGUAUUUGAUAAUCUACACUUCUGUUGGUGGUCUAUCAUGUCAUGUUGCUUUGCACACAUUUGUGGUUCUCCUCCUGCUUGUUUGGCUGGAUAUGCGUAUUUAAAAGAGCUUCUAAAGUUAAAGAAGUGAAGGUUUCCUCUUACUCAGGAGCUGACCUUCAUCCCAAACUCAGUUCUGUUUGCUCUGAGGAGGUAACUGGCAUCAUCAAUUACGCUGUCUUGCUCAAUUAGGGUGUGAAUUCGCUUGUUUUUGUCCUGUUGUUACCAGCAUUUACAUGAUUUCGGAGAGCUUCUCGUCAUAUGCAUCGUGAUGGUUGGGUUGGCUUCUGAAUGGUUGUUCAGGUUGUAUGUCCUCCUCUUCAUGUUAGGAGCUUAGGUUGAAGAACUCAUCCGUGUAGUGGGCAUUGUUUGGAAGUGGUUCUGGUUCUUUAUCUUUAUUACUUGAAUGUUGUCUCUUUAGGCAGCUGUGGAAUUUCAAGUUUCGCAAUGUUUGGUAUGUAAUCAUUUUUUAUGGUUCUCUCUUAGAUGACAAUUUGUUAUUCAAGGAUUUGAGAUCAGUUAACUCUAUUUAUAUGUUAUUUCUAUAAAAUGAGAGUUGGUGGCUUAACUAUCAGCAUUUAGAGAAUAUGUGAAGGAGAGCUAUCCAAGGGAUGUGACAGUUUAAGAGUGUUUGAAUGUAGUUCUCUGUGUCUCCACACUGAUCACUGUGUAUAACUGUUUGAAAACCAACAGGUUCUGUGCCAUUUGACUUUGUAUACUUGUGGAUUAUUGACAAUACCAGGCUGUUGUAGUGAUACCUAAGGGCUUCCUUCUUCCAAUCAAGCUGUAUACCUUGUUUUGGAGCAGUCUUCUUCUACCCUGAGCUAAUUGUUGCUAGUUGUUGCUGAAGUUGGUGGUUUUGGGAAUGUUUUUAAUGACCAUCUCUCAUCUGUGCUGUAGGGGCUUGGAUUCAAGGUUGAUCUUGUGUCUUAACACUUUUAAGGAUCUUUUAGUUGCUUUUGAUUGAUUUUGUGUGUGUGUGUGUGUGUGUUUUUUAAGUACCAAGGUGUGGCAGUCAAUUUGAUUGUUCAGUACUGUAGCCGUGAAUUGUGGUCAACAUUAUUCUUGAGCAGUUCUUCUCUUCAAAUACUUGGUGUACAGGCUUUCUUGAGCAACAGUGGGCAGUUUUUGGAACUGUGGUACAAGAUGGGUGUUGUGCUUGAAGAGACUCUAAGCCCUUUUAUUGCUUCUUGAUUAUUUGUCGAAUUCAUUCUGUUGUUUGGUGUGGCAGUAAAAUCUACCUCUCCGUAAUGUGGGUGAGAAGUGCAAGUCUAUGUUCUCUUGUUCAUGAUUUUGCAAGAGAAAAUGGGAGUUUUCUCCUUCCCUGUUUUUCUCCUGAGGUUUUCUUUGACCAAAUAGUUGACAUGUCAGGUUGACUAAGAUCUAUGUCAUCUUUAAUUUGGAAGGAUCUUGAAUUCGAGGAGCUCAGUCAUGUCGCUAAAGUAACUGAAAGGAGUUCUUUGCUGCCCUUCAUGUAUUACUUUGUUUGAAGAUUGACAGUUUCUGGAUUAUCUAUAAAAUUCAUUCUUUCUUCACUGGUUUAAUGAAUAAUCUUUCUUAAUCAUUUGGUGUGGCAGUAAAUUCCAUGUUCUGUAAUGUGAUGAGAAUUGCAAGGGCUGUGUUGUGGUCUAAAUGAUUUUGAAGGAGAACCAGAGGAGUAAUUUCCUUUCCCUAUUUUUCAUAUUGGGUUUCUGUGAACAAUAAUGAACUGUUUCUGGUUAUCUAUUGAAAUGCUCCUGUUCAUCAUCAUUUUAGGAAGGAGGUUGGAAUUGAAGAAGUCAGUUGUGUGGUUAAAGUGAUUGAAAGGACUGUGUAUUAGUAUGUCUUAGGCUAUCUGUUAUGCCUUUGCAUAUUUGUUUUACGAGUUUCAAUUGGUUGGAGCGGUUGUAGUGACAUCUGUGGCCUCCUUCAGAUUAGAGGCUAUCCAUAUUGGUUUGAAGGAAUCCUAUUCUAUCUAAAUCAAUUGUUUGUUAGUGCUUGACAAAA